GGGCUGGCCAAUUGGGAUUCAUUCUCUCCUUCUUAAGGUUCAUCCCCUUGGAGUACCAGCCUUAAGUCGGUGGGGUCACCAGGGCUCUUCUUCUCGGAGGGCCCAUGACUUCCUCCACCAUGAAACUGUCACAAAAUCCUUAGCAUCUCAUCGCUUAGGCAAAAGCAGCUUCAAAUGCCGGACUCAUAGUCAUGGAUUUCCAUUCCCCUCUGCUCCCUACCAGACUAAAUCCUGCGGAGCAGGCUCACAGCACAGGGCUGCUUACGGAGAAGACAAGACGACAGGAUGCACGAGGAGAGUGUGUGACAAUGUGAUUCCCCAGCAGAUGACCUACAGUAAUGACACAGUACAGAGGGUGUCCAAAGAAACAUUGUAAGGGGCCCAUGGGGCUGUGAAGCAUUGAGAAAUCUGAGCUGAGCUCUCACCAGCCUGGUAAAUUCCACUGGCACCAAGAUGCUGAGCCAAUUUAAAUGCAAAGCAAAAAACUUGCAAUGUUUGCCAGACUCUUUAAAAUGUAAUUAUAGCAACCCAUUCAAGGAUCAGUUUAACGUAUAAGCAACUUGGAGAAGACUGCUGAUCCCAUUCAAACAUUUUACAUUCCACAUACCUACGCAAUGACAUUACCUGGAGGAUGUACUUUCUUAAUUAAAAAAAAAAGUUUUCCCCUCACAUUUUGAAAAGUAUGUUGUUAUUAAAU
rnacentral:lncRNA from 1 species